rnacentral:rRNA from 1 species
ACGAACGCUGGCGGCGUGCUUAACACCUGCAAGUCGAACGGAAAGGCCUGCUUUCCCUUGUGGAUUGCGGGUACUCGAGUGGCGAACGGGUGAGUAACACGUGAGUGAUCUGCCCCCAACUUGGGUAUAAGCCUGGGAAACUGGGUCUAAUUCCCGAUAGGACUGCAGGGUGGUGCCUGUGGUGGAAAACGAUUUUCUAGUGGUUGGGGAUGAGCUCGCGGCCUAUCAGCUUGUUGGUGGGGUAAUGGCCUACCAAGGCGGCGACGGGUAGCCGGCCUGAGAGGGUGGACGGCCACAUUGGGACUGAGAUACGGCCCAGACGCCUACGGGAGGCAGCAGUGGGGAAUAUUGCACAAUGGGCGGAAGCCUGAUGCAGCGACGCCGCGUGGGGGAUGACGGCCUCCGGGUUGUAAACUCCUUUCGACCGCGAGGAAGCCACCUGGUUGGAAGGGUGGUGACGGUAGUGGUAGAAGAAGCACCGGCUAACUACGUG